AUAGCCAUGUAAUAGGGGAUUGGCAUAGUUAGUGUGUAUGUGUGUGAGUGCAUGUGUGUGUGCGCGCGGCUGUCGCCCCGCUGAGCUGCGUAGUGUCAACAAGCCACAGCCGAACACCCGUCGACAUGGACGACCUGUUCAGCCCGCGGAGGAGCUUGAACAGCACUCAAGGCGAGAUAAGAGUGGGACCAAGUCAUCAGGCAAAGCUUCCCGAGCUUCAGCCUCGUCCUGCACCAGCUUCUCAUUCUCAGACAGAGAGUGAGGAGCUUAUGUGGACACCUGGUGUCAAUGACUGCGACCUUCUCAUGUACCUGAGAGCUGCGAGGAGCAUGGCGGCAUUUGCAGGCAUGUGUGAUGGGGGAUCCACAGAGGACGGCUGUUUAGCUGCCUCUCGUGACGACACAACGCUCAACGCUCUCAACAUGUUGCAUGCAAGCCACUACGAUGCUGCAAAAGCUCUCCAGCGUCUGGUGAAGAAGCCCCUGCCAAGGCUUAUUGAGAAGUGCUGGUCUGAGGAUGAUGUGAAACGCUUCAUCAAAGGCCUCAGACAGUAUGGAAAGAAUUUUUUCCGUAUUCGAAAAGACUUCUUGCCCAGCAAAAAGACUGGAGAGCUGAUCACGUUCUAUUACCACUGGAAAAAGACUCCAGAGGCUGCAGGAACGCGAGCUUAUCGACAACAACGCAGGCAGCCGUCGUCUCGAAAGGCAAAGACUCGCUCUGCUGCUGCUCCCGUGAGCGCCCCGUCUCGAAAUUACUCUGUGGAUGCAAGUUCAGCCAGUGAGGACGAACUUGACAGUGAAGACAGUGAACAGGAAGUGAAGAGCUGCAGCCACUGCGGUACAACACGUUCCAAGGAUUGGCACCAAGGGGGAAGAUGCAACCCUUUGCUGUGUACAACCUGCCGCACGUAUGAAAACAAGCACGGCUGCCUGCCGGCGGGACAGAAAUCUUCAGGCGCGUCAUUCAUGUUCAAACCCGUGAAAGGGGAAGAGGAAGGGAACAGUAAACAUGGCAUGAGGACACGACGAAGCAGAGCACCUCAGUUGUCGUCGUUAAGAAGCGGCCACAGGAGACUCACUGGCUCUCCCACUGGUGAGGAUCAGCAGUCCACCACCCAGAACUCCCAGAGUGGAACGAGAGCAUCUAACGCAGACAGUAAGAAUGACUCCACAAAGAAGAAUAACAAGAAGGUUAAGGAAGAGGCAGCCACACCAAAGACAAUGAAACGAGUCAGGGAGAUUCCUCCUCAGGAGCCCAACGAGCCUGAAAAAGUCAAACCCAAAAGGCCAAAGACUCAGGAGCCGCAGGAUUCUCGUUCCGUGGAGGCCGAGGCGGAGGAGGAGAGCUCCUCAGAAAGUCGCAGCGCUCAGGACGACGGCAGCAGUGAUGCCAAAGACAUCGAUCAGGACAACCGCAGCUCCUCCCCCAGCAUUCCCAGCCCUCAGCAUGGCAACGAGAGCGACUCCGACUCUUCGGCCCAACCGAGCGCCGUCCCCCCAGAGCCCGCAGCUCCACCGGCCGCGCAGGCUGACGCGACGGUCCCGCAGGCCCCUCCCUCUCAGGGCCCACAAAGCACUCCCACUUCUGGCUCACCUCCGAACACGUCGCCCCCAUCUCCAGAACCACCUCAAGCAGCUGCUGCGCAGUCCGCUGCCAAUAUGGGCCCGAGCAGCCGCCCGCUGCCCGCCCCUCAUUCUCUCUGUGGUGCACCGCCACUUCCACCCGCAGUGGCGCAGGAGUCUCCCAUCUCGUCCGCAUUUCAGGUGCCACCUGCUCUCAGCUCGGUGUCCUCCCCGCUGCCACCGACCCAGAGACCCCCGCCCUUCUUUAGGGAGUCACAGCUGCCCCAGCCUCCUCUUUCUGGCCCCCAAAUCAAGCCUCCUCCCACCACCCCGAUUCAACCUUCCCACAAACAGAUACCGCACCAGGCGGCUCCCCCCUUCCCCCAGAUGCCCUCCAACCUUCCACCCCCACCUGCUCUAAAACCUCUCAAUUCUCUGCCCAAUCAGCAUCCUCCAGGCGCACCCCCUCCACCUCUUCAGCUCAUGCCCCAGCCUUUAGCUGUGCAGUCGCUUUCAGGCCAGCUUCCGGUGAUUUCUCAGGCGCACCCUCACCCUGGAAAGAGUACCGGUUCCCCUCAUCCUUCUGGCGCACCGUCGCAGCCUCACGCCUCCGCCACGACGGCCUCAGUCGGCCCCGUCCCCAGCCUGCAGCCGUCCUUCCCUCCCAUCGGGCUGAGAUCGUCGCCGAGCGCCGCAGUUGGAGCGCCUCAAAUUCAAAUCAAAGAGGAGCCGCUGGAUGAGAUGGAGGAAGUGGAGAGUCCGCCGUCUCCACCUCGCAGCCCUUCACCGGAGCCGACCGUCAUCAACAUGGCGAGCCACGCCAGCCAGUCUGCACGGUUUAUCAAACACUUGGAUCGCGGCUACAACUCCUGCGCUCGGACAGACCUGUUCUUCACGCCGCUCUCCUCAUCCAAGCUGGCCAAGAAAAGGGAGGAGGCCCUCGAGAGGUCUCGCAGGGAGGCGGAGCUCAGCGCUCGGCAGGAGCGUGAACGCGAUCGGGAGCGAGAAAGGGAGGCGGACAGACACGCUCGAGCAUGCAGCUCCUCCCACGACGGUCGCAUGAGCGAGGCUCAGUUGGCCGCUCACGGACGCGCCAUGUACGAGCAGCCACCAACCACCGUGGCCGCCGUGCCCCCCUACAUCGGCCCCGAUACGCCGGCCCUCCGCACCCUGAGCGAAUACGCCCGACCCCAUGUCAUGUCCCCCACCAACCGCAACCACCCGUUCUACGUGUCUCUGAGUCCCGGCGACCCCAUGCUGGCCUACCACAUGCCCGGCCUUUACGGCGUCGAACCCGGCCUGAGAGAGCGCGAGCUGAGGAACCUCCGAGAGAGGGAGCUCCGCGAGAGGAUGAAGCCGGGCUUCGAGGUCAAGCCCCCUGACAUGGAAACCCUGCACCCCUCAGCCAACCCCAUGGAGCACUACGUCAGGCACGGGGCCCUGGCUCUGCCCCACAUCCCGGGGCCUCCUCACCACUUUGCACCCUUUCACCCGGGGCUCAACCAUCUGGAGAGGGAGAGGAUGGUGCUGGCCGGUACCCAGCUGCGCCCGGAGCUGAGUUACGCCGAGCGCCUCACAGCCGAGCGGCUGCACGCCGAGAGGAUGGCCUCCGUGGCGUCGGAUCCCGCAGCCAGGCUGCAGAUGCUCAACGUGACGCCGCAUCAUCACCAACACUCGCACAUCCACUCCCACCUCCACCUGCACCAACAGGACCCCCUCGGGCAAGGUUCAAGCCCUCAUCCUCUGGUGGACCCGCUGGCAAAUGGACCACGUCUGGCCCGCUUCCCCUUCCCCGGGGGGCCUAUCCCCAACCCUUUGCUGGCUGACCUUCCGCAUGACCACGAGAUGCUGCGCCACCCUUUGUUUGGGGCCGUGUAUCCUCGAGAGCUCCAGGGGCCAAUUCCUCAGAUGUCAGCCGCGCAUCAGCUCCAGGCCAUGCAUGUUCAGUCGGCAGAGCUGCAGAGGAUGGCCAUGGAGCAGCAGUGGUUGCACGGACAUCACCUGCAUGGAGGCCCUUUGCCCAGCCAGGAAGAUUAUUACAGGUGAGGACCUCUUCUGCGUGGUCAAUCAAAGAUGUCAUACCUUGACUUCUCACUUGAAUACCCGUCUGAAGAAAGAAGGCGACAAGCCAUCGUGAGGUCCACGUGGCGCCUUCGUCUAAAAAAAGCCCGUACUUAACGCCCAGUAGAGAACUGUAAAAGAGUAUUUGUGUGUCUUUUGUUUUCAUAUAUUUUACGACAUAUUUGUCGAUGGAUAUGCGCAUUCCUUCUCCAGCACUUCACAGGCCUGCUAAAGUCUGGCUAAGAUUUUCACGGGAAUUUAUACUUGCUAUAUGAAUAAUCUCACAGGUUCACGUGAGAUUCCAGAACUUUCACCAACUUACUGUUUAACAGUUUCAUAUACACAACUCCGACCUUGCUAACACACAGCUAGCUCUCGGUAGCGUUGCAAACAGACUUUGGCGUGUAUAAACGAUGAUUCCUUGUACAGAAUUGCAUUUAAACCAGUGUUUGAAUGAGUGUUAACGACCGAGCAUGACUCAAAUUAGAGUAGCAUCGUCUUGUUUAGACCGGAAAGCAAAUAGUAGAGGUUGGUUUUACUCCAAUUAUGCUCAAGAUUUGUCUAAAUCCUAAAGUUUUAUAUUCAGUAUCGAGAUAUCUUUUCACAGUACGACCUGAGCUUUAUUCACUCCUUUUUGAGCCUGUAAAUAUUAAAUGUUCACAAUAUUCUAUAUGAAUGAGUACCAUUAGUCGUAGAUGUAACCCUCGUUUAAGCAGGAAACUUUAAGCUCUAACACUAUAUCAUAUUUUAAGCGAUAUAAUUAUUAAUUGGAACCGGAUCUGGGGAUUCAUGCAUUUAUACAUCUAUUUGAUACAAAUAAGAGAAUUGGAGACAGAUUAAAUAUUCACCAAAAAAAACUGCCUUGAAAUUUAAUAUUUAUGUGUAUCCAAUAAAGUGUGUUCAUUGCAUAUUUAUUUCAAUAAAUAUUCUGCAGUGUCACCGUAA